GAUCAACGCUGGCGGCGUGCUUAACACAUGCCAGUCGAACGAAGUUUUUCUUUCGGGAGGAACUUAGUGGCGGACGGGUGAGUAACGCGUGGGUAACCUGCCCUGUACAGGGGGACAACAGCUGGAAACGGCUGCUAAUACCGCAUAAGCCCUUAGCACUGCAUGGUGCAUAGGGAAAAGGAGCAAUCCGGUACAGGAUGGACCCGCGUCUGAUUAGCCAGUUGGCAGGGUAACGGCCUACCAAAGCGACGAUCAGUAGCCGAUCUGAGAGGAUGUACGGCCACAUUGGGACUGAGACACGGCCCAGACUCCUACGGGAGGCAGCAGUGGGGAAUAUUGCACAAUGGAGGAAACUCUGAUGCAGCGACGCCGCGUGAGUGAAGAAGUAUUUCGGUAUGUAAAGCUCUAUCAGCAGGAAAGAAAAUGACGGUACCUGACUAAGAAGCACCGGCUAAAUACGUG
rnacentral:rRNA from 1 species